rnacentral:rRNA from 1 species
GCCUACGGGAGGCAGCAGUGGGGAAUAUUGCACAAUGGGCGAAAGCCUGAUGCAGCAACGCCGCGUGAGCGAUGAAGGCCUUCGGGUCGUAAAGCUCUGUCCUCAAGGAAGAUAAUGACGGUACUUGAGGAGGAAGCUCCGGCUAACUACGUGCCAGCAGCCGCGGUAAUACGUAGGGGGCUAGCGUUAUCCGGAAUUACUGGGCGUAAAGGGUGCGUAGGUGGUUUCUUAAGUCAGAGGUGAAAGGCUACGGCUCGACCGUAGUAAGCCUUUGAACCCGGGAAAGUUGAGCGCAGG